rnacentral:misc_RNA from 1 species
AAGUCGUAACAAGGUCUCCGUUGGUGAACCAGCGGAGGGAUCAUUAUCGAGUGUAAAAACUCCCAACCCUUUGUGAACCUUACCCAAGUUGCUUCGGCGGUGCCGCCCCGGGCGCUGACUCGCUCAGUGCCCCGGAACCAGGCGCCCGCCGGGGGACCGAAACUCUUGUAUUACCUAUGGUAUUCUCUGAGUGGAUUUAUACAAAUCAAAUCAAAACUUUCAACAACGGAUCUCUUGGCUCUG